CAAAGAUACGUACAAUAAAAUAUCACGUUUCUCUGUACUUUUUCCAAAUCCGCAGAUCAUGCAGAUAAAUGAACACCAGGACGCUUUUACUGGAUUUAAAGCCUGUUAAAAACAAGCUUUUUAAAUGCAGGAUACAGCACGGUUCCAGGUAAACUACAUUACCCACAACGCAUCUCUUCGUGUAACAUGCGCCGUCACUACACAGCUAAAGGAAGAAGAGUACAGCCUCAAGACUAAACGCUGUGAUCAGUACUCUGGACUGAGGGAUUUUAGCUAA
rnacentral:lncRNA from 1 species